rnacentral:rRNA from 1 species
AGAGUUUGAUCAUGGCUCAGGACGAACGCUGGCGGCGUGCCUAAUACAUGCAAGUCGAGCGAAUCUUUAGGAGCUUGCUCCUGAAGGUUAGCGGCGGACGGGUGAGUAACACGUGGGCAACCUGCCUGUAAGACUGGGAUAACUCCGGGAAACCGGGGCUAAUACCGGAUAACAUUUUGCACUGCAUGGUGCGAAAUUGA